rnacentral:lncRNA from 10 species
GUGUAUGUAUGUACUUACUAUGUAUAUAUUAUAUAUGUAUAAUACACAGACGUAUGUCAUAUUUUAUGGAUACUACUUAUACUCAAACGUUAUUCAUUGUUUACCUGAAUUUGAAAUUUAAUUUAGUAUUCUAUAUUUUUCUGGCAAAUCUGGGAUAGAUGACUGAGGUUCUCAAUAUUGAACAAAAGUUUUUAAAAAGUAGUGAUACCAAAAGUUACCAAUGGUGCAAGGAAUUCAACUAGCCCUGUGUAACCAUUGUGAUUAUUGUUAGUCUGUGAUCUUUAGUUUCAUUUGCAUAUUUUUGUGUUUUCUGAAUUUCAGCGAGCUAGAAGCCUUUUAAUAUUUUCCCCAGGUUCUGUCAAUGGGGCGAAUUGAUGGGAAGAUAGAAGGCAGAGAGAGGAGGUUGUUUCUCCCAGCUUCUGGUUGUGCCUUUGCCAUCAGUAGCAACAGCCGGAGGCAGUUCCAGGCUCUUUGCAGCAACUUUGGCAUCAGCCGCAGCAUCACUGUUAGUGAUUUCAGCAGCAAUAGCAUCCCUGUGGGUUCCUGGGACUCUGCUCAGCAGGAGUGUUUUGGUACCAGCAGCAGGAACGGCAGCAGAAGUACCACUGGCAGAUUGGCUGAGCCUUGCUCUGCUCAUUAGACAUGCAACAAAGAGCUGGCCUGUGGAGCACACAUCCAUAUUCAUAACUCAAGUCAGCUGGAAAGUUGUACAUUUUUCUUUCUGGGAAAUCAUGGCAACAAAGACUGAAGACUCAGGCAGCACAAAUGGGAAUGAUGGGUGAGUCCUUAAUUCAACCUUCUCCCACCCUGACUGCAAUCUCUGGUGGACUUUCUAGCAAGGAAAUGGGACUGGAUCACUGCCCUGCUUAAAAACCUUUCAAAGGCCUCAUCUUCUAUAAAGUAUACAUUUCUUUUAUUUUAUUAUGUAAGGAACUGAGUUAUCUUGCUCCUGUUUAAUCCUGAUUUUUUUCUUUAUAUUUUCAUAGGUGUGUUUUUAACAAAUGUGAUAUAAUUUACGUACAACAAAUUGCACAUGUAUAAAUUGUACAUUUUCACCUAUGUAUAUACUCACGAGAGCACCAGUACAACCAAAAUAAUAAAUAUUCCUCUAUCACUCCUAAAAUUGUACACCUGCCCCUUUGUUACUACUUCUCACCUGUCCAUGUGAAGCCAAAGGUCAGCCUUCUUUUGCCGUGGAUUAGUUUAUAUUCUCUAUAGAUUUAUAAAGAUAAAAUAAUACAGUGUGUAAUGAGAAGGUAUGGUCUGGUCUCUUUAACUCAGCAUAUUUCAUUUGAGAUUUUGUUGUUUGUAUCAAGAGAUCAUUAUUUUUUUUAUAUUACUGACCUAUAUUCCACUGUAUGAGUAUAUGGCAGUUUAAUUUAAUGGCAGACAUAGCAAAUUUUAUCUUAUUAGGGGCUGGAUAUUUACACAUUUAUAUAAAUAUCAUGGAACUCUGUUUGGCAUGUCAUUAAUUUAUUUGUAAACAGUGUGAUCUUUUUCAGCCAUAAUUCUAAUAUGCGGAAGAUGGUAACAAAGGUAUCUUUAGUCUAGGACUAAUUAUAUCUCACUAUGGAGCCAAGAAUUCCUUGAAUAUUCCCUGCAAUAUCCCACAAGUUAUGAGGAUUUCUGGUGCGGCUUGUGAAAACAAACACUAUUUCUGGCUGUGUGAGAGUUCCAAGCCUUUUUCUGACUCAUUAAUUUAGAUGAUACUUUCCCCAGACUCAUGCUGUUUCCUCAGACCCAUGCCCUAAUCAAUAGUCUGCUGAUUCCACAAGGGAGCCUCUCUGCAGUCUCUAGAAGAUUUCUGUCUCUGCAGCUCUUUUCUCUCUCAUGCGCUGUCCUGUGAACUCUAACUGCCUUGAUCUGCUCUGAGUUUCAGGUCUGUCUCAGCUCUGGGAGUCUGUCGUGCUCUGCCUGAAAUUCCCCUUCUCUGUGCUACACCCUUGAAACUACGUGUAGUAAACUGGGUCAAUAAUCUGCUCACCUUGUUUGUUCUUCAUUUCCAUGAUCACUCUCCUUUUAUUGCCUGAUAUACAGUGUCUCAAAAACUGCA